CAAUAGCGUAUAUUAAAGUUGUUGCAGUUAAAAAGCUCGUAGUUGGAUUUGUGGCGUACGGUGUGUUCCGGGCACUUGUUGUCUGAGUAACCUGCUGUUGCCAUCCUUGGGUGGAACCUGUGUGGCAUUAGGUUGUCGUGCAGGGGAUGCCCAUCAUUUACUGUGAAAAGAUUAGAGUGUUCAAAGCAGGCUUAUGCCGUUGAAUAUAUUAGCAUGGAAUAAUGAGAUAGGACUUUUUUGCUAUUUUGUUGGUUUGCGCAAAGAGGUAAUGAUUAAUAGGGACAGUUGGGGGUAUUCGUAUUCCAUUGUCAGAGGUGAAAUUCUUGGAUUUUUGGAAGACGAACUACUGCGAAAGCAUUUACCAAGGAUGUUUUCAUUAA
rnacentral:rRNA from 1 species